UAGGGAAUCUUCGGCAAUGGACGAAAGUCUGACCGAGCAACGCCGCGUGAGUGAAGAAGGUUUUCGGAUCGUAAAACUCUGUUGGUAGAGAAGAACGUUGGUGAGAGUGGAAAGCUCAUCAAGUGACGGUAACUACCCAGAAAGGGACGGCUAACUACGUGCCAGCAGCCGCGGUAAUACGUAGGUCCCGAGCGUUGUCCGGAUUUAUUGGGCGUAAAGCGAGCGCAGGUGGUUUAUUAAGUCUGGUGUAAAAGGCAGUGGCUCAACCAUUGUAUGCAUUGGAAACUGGUAGACUUGAGUGCAGGAGAGGAGAG
rnacentral:rRNA from 1 species